rnacentral:rRNA from 1 species
GGAUGCGAUCAUACCAGCACUAACGCACCGGAUCCCAUCAGAACUCCGAAGUUAAGCGUGG